rnacentral:rRNA from 1 species
UACACAUGCAAGUCGAACGAUGAACCACUUCGGUGGGGAUUAGUGGCGAACGGGUGAGUAACACGUGGGCAAUCUGCCCUUCACUCUGGGACAAGCCCUGGAAACGGGGUCUAAUACCGGAUAUGAGCCUGGGAGGCAUCUCCCGGGUUGUAAAGCUCCGGCGGUGAAGGAUGAGCCCGCGGCCUAUCAGCUUGUUGGUGAGGUAAUGGCUCACCAAGGCGACGACGGGUAGCCGGCCUGAGAGGGCGACCGGCCACACUGGGACUGAGACACGGCCCAGACUCCUACGGGAGGCAGCAGUGGGGAAUAUUGCACAAUGGGCGAAAGCCUGAUGCAGCGACGCCGCGUGAGGGAUGACGGCCUUCGGGUUGUAAACCUCUUUCAGCAGGGAAGAAGCGAGAGUGACGGUACCUGCAGAAGAAGCGCCGGCUAACUACGUGCCAGCAGCCGCGGUAAUACGUAGGGCGCAAGCGUUGUCCGGAAUUAUUGGGCGUAAAGAGCUCGUAGGCGGCUUGUCACGUCGAUUGUGAAAGCCCGAGGCUUAACCUCGGGUCUGCAGUCGAUACGGGCUAGCUAGAGUGUGGUAGGGGAGAUCGGAAUUCCUGGUGUAGCGGUGAAAUGCGCAA